rnacentral:rRNA from 1 species
AGAGUUUGAUCAUGGCUCAGAUUGAACGCUGGCGGCAGGCCUAACACAUGCAAGUCGAGCGGUAGAGAGAAGCUUGCUUCUCUUGAGAGCGGCGGACGGGUGAGUAAUGCCUAGGAAUCUGCCUGGUAGUGGGGGAUAACGUUCGGAAACGGACGCUAAUACCGCAUACGUCCUACGGGAGAAAGCAGGGGACCUUCGGGCCUUGCGCUAUCAGAUGAGCCUAGGUCGGAUUAGCUAGUUGGUGAGGUAAUGGCUCACCAAGGCGACGAUCCGUAACUGGUCUGAGAGGAUGAUCAGUCACACUGGAACUGAGACACGGUCCAGACUCCUACGGGAGGCAGCAGUGGGGAAUAUUGGACAAUGGGCGAAAGCCUGAUCCAGCCAUGCCGCGUGUGUGAAGAAGGUCUUCGGAUUGUAAAGCACUUUAAGUUGGGAGGAAGGGUUGUAGAUUAAUACUCUGCAAUUUUGACGUUACCGACAGAAUAAGCACCGGCUAACUCUGUGCCAGCAGCCGCGGUAAUACAGAGGGUGCAAGCGUUAAUCGGAAUUACUGGGCGUAAAGCGCGCGUAGGUGGUUUGUUAAGUUGGAUGUGAAAUCCCCGGGCUCAACCUGGGAACUGCAUUCAAAACUGACUGACUAGAGUAUGGUAGAGGGUGGUGGAAUUUCCUGUGUAGCGGUGAAAUGCGUAGAUAUAGGAAGGAACACCAGUGGCGAAGGCGACCACCUGGACUAAUACUGACACUGAGGUGCGAAAGC